rnacentral:rRNA from 1 species
CACGUAGGCGGACCUGCAAGUUGGGGGUGAAAUCCCGGGGCUCAACCCCGGAACUGCCUUCAAAACUGCUGGUCUUGAGGUCGAGAGAGGUGAGUGGAAUUCCGAGUGUAGAGGUGAAAUUCGUAGAUAUUCGGAGGAACACCAGUGGCGAAGGCGGCUCACUGGCUCGAUACUGACGCUGAGGUGCGAAAGCGUGGGGAGCAAACA